rnacentral:rRNA from 1 species
AUACGUAGGGUGCAAGCGUUAAUCGGAAUUACUGGGCGUAAAGCGUGCGCAGGCGGUUUUGUAAGACAGUGGUGAAAUCCCCGGGCUCAACCUGGGAACUGCCAUUGUGACUGCAAGGCAGGAGUGCGGCAGAGGGGGAUGGAAUUCCGCGUGUAGCAGUGAAAUGCGUAGAUAUGCGGAGGAACACCGAUGGCGAAGGCAAUCCCCUGGGCCUGCACUGACGCUCAUGCACGAAAGCGUGGGGAGCAAACAGGAUUAGAUACCCUGGUAGUCCACGCCCUAAACGAUGUCAACUGGUUGUUGGGGAUUUAUUUUCUCAGUAACGAAGCUAACGCGUGAAGUUGACCGCCUGGGGAGUACGGCCGCAAGGUUAAAACUCAAAUGAAUUGACGGGG